rnacentral:lncRNA from 1 species
ACAAAGCAAGCUCAAGGCUUAAGCCCAAGCUUCAACACCUGCAAAACAAUGUUAUGUUAGUGUACAAACAUCCACAACAUCAAUUAAAAUGGAUUUGGACCAUUAUCCAUGUGCAUUGCUUUUUAAUCCUGAAAAAUCAAGCAAACAUUAGCAACUAGACCACUAGGCCAAGCCUAGGGUCCAAAAGCAAGAAAAAAAU